rnacentral:rRNA from 1 species
GAGUUUGAUCCUGGCUCAGAGUGAACGCUGGCGGCGUGCUUAACACAUGCAAGUCGAGCGAAGUGGCAGCUGUAGCAAUACAGUAUGUGCUUAGCGGCAGACGGGUGAGUAACACGUAGACAAUCUACCUCUUAGCGGGGGAUAGCCAAUCGAAAGGUUGGGUAAUACCGCGUACGAUCGUGAUUCGGCAUCGGAUUAUGAUGAAACAUCCGCAAGGAUGGCUAAGAGAGGAGUCUGCGGCCUAUCAGCUUGUUGGCGGGGUAACGGCCCACCAAGGCUACGACGGGUAUCCGACCUGAAAGGGUGACCGGACACACUGACACUGAGACACGGGUCAGACUCCUACGGGAGGCAGCAGUGAGGAAUUUUGGACAAUGGGGGAAACCCUGAUCCAGCGACGCCGCGUGAAGGAUGAAGGUCUUCGGAUUGUAAACUUCUUUUGUUUGGGAAUAAGAGUACCGAGGAAACUCGGGACGUGAAUGUACCAGAUGAAUAAGCCACGGCUAACUUCGUGCCAGCAGCCGCGGUAAUACGAAGGUGGCAAGCGUUACUCGGAAUUACUAGGCGUAAAGGGCAGGUAGGCGGUUUGAUAAGUCUGUUGUGAAAGCUCCCGGCUUAACUGGGAGAGGUCAACGGAUACUGUCGAACUUGAGUAUAGGAGAGGGUACUGGAAUUCCUGGUGUAGAGGUGGAAUUCGUAGAUAUUAGG